GGGGGCCCGGAUUUCCGGUCGGCCCGGGGGCUUUCGGUUCCGGGUUCUCGGCGGCCGGGCAACGAGUGUCGGCCGCUGGGCCCGGAGCGCGGCCAUGGAGAAGCUGCGGCGGGUCCUGAGCGGCCAGGACGACGAGGAGCAGGGCCUGACCGCGCAGGUCCUGGACGCCUCCUCGCUGAGCUUCAGCACCAGGGUGAAGUGGUUCGCCAUCUGCUUCGUGAGCGGCAUCUUCUUCUCCAUCCUCGGCACUGGCCUGCUGUGGCUUCCCGGGGGCAUCAAGCUUUUCGCCGUGUUCUACACCUUCGGGAAUAUUGCUGCCUUAGCCAGCACGUGCUUUCUGAUGGGGCCCUUCAAGCAGCUGAAGAAGAUGUUCGAGACCACGAGGCUGCUCGCCACCGUCGUCAUGCUGCUGUGCUUCGUGCUGACCCUGUGUGCUGCUCUGUGGUGGCAUAAGAAGGGGCUGGCCGUGCUCUUCUGCAUAUUGCAGUUCCUGUCCAUGACCUGGUACAGCCUGUCGUACAUCCCGUAUGCAAGUAAACGAUGUUCUAAGCGGGAUGAAUAGAGAGAAGUUUGUCGAGGGGGCGCCACUGUGAAUGUGUCGGUGGGGAGGCUGGGGACCGACUCCUGCUCCGUUGGGCGCCUGGGCCUUUGCUGCCAGGAACUUGGAUGAGAGCUUCUGGAUCCUUCCACGACUGCAGAUAUUCACUAGAUAGGCCGUGGGGACUCCAGCAAAACAGAUUCUUCUCUUUAAAGGGAAGCUGGUGAAAAAGGACGCCGUCAUGAAAUGCUGUUCUUCUCUCCUGAGUUGAAGACCAGAACCUCUUCGCAGAGCGUCUGGGAGUUGCUGUUGGUUUGGGGGAGUGUAUUUUCCUGAGCCGGUGGUCGCCCCUCCCCCCGUGGCCGUUCAGGGCCGAGCGCACCGUGGACCCCGCGGCGAGUAAACUGUGAUGCUCCCACCACUAGAUCCCGCCACUCACUGCUCUCCCCACGGAGGCGGCACCGCCGAUUGCGAAUGAUCUGUAGCCAAUUGUGAUUGAUCUGUAGCGUUUCUAAUCCUUCCUCCACAGCAUCUGAUUGUGAAUAUCCAGGGAGAAGUCUCCGCUGCGUGAACUUCGUUGGCUUUUCUAAAAUGUCAAGGUUUAAAAAUACUUUAAAUGUGAAAGUUUUUACUUUAAACUAAGAAUCGCUUAUAUGUAAUAAAAAUAAUAUAUAAAUCUUUACAAUUUUAAAAUAA